UGGGGAAUAUUGCGCAAUGGGGGAAACCCUGACGCAGCGACGCCGCGUGCGGGAUGAAGGCCUUCGGGUUGUAAACCGCUUUUGAUUGGGAGCAAGCUUUCGGGUGAGUGUACCUUUCGAAUAAGCGCCGGCUAACUACGUGCCAGCAGCCGCGGUAAUACGUAGGGCGCAAGCGUUAUCCGGAAUUAUUGGGCGUAAAGCGAGCGCAGGCGGUUAGAAAAGUCUGAAGUGAAAGGCAGUGGCUCAACCAUUGUAGGCUUUGGAAACUGUUUAACUUGAGUGCAGAAGGGGAGAGUGGAAUUCCAUGUGUAGCGGUGAAAUGCGUAGAUAUAUGGAGGAACACCGGUGGCGAAAGCGGCUCUCUGGUCUGUAACUGACGCUGAGGCUCGAAAGCGUGGGGAGCGAACAGG
rnacentral:rRNA from 2 species